AUAUGACAGUGAUGAUUGACAUUGAUCCAAUUAAUCCUAUCGGUAUGUCUCUGGAUGGAUUUUUGGUUUCUUCAGCCAUGGUGGCGAUAUUGUCAAAUCCUCCAUAAGCAAACUAUUGUCAGAACAGCAACAGCUAUUGGGUCAAGUAGAUUGUACCCCUCCGUCAGAUUUGUAUGGAUGCGUAAUGAGUUGGAGGGACGAUUCAAGAGUGAUGUGAAGUAAGAAGUCCAUGAUCUAGCAACUGCUGCACUUCCGACAAAGCCCUCAAGAAGUAUGUUUCCUGCUGUUAUGAAUGCUAUAAAGUCUCCUAAUUCUAUCCGCAGGUAAGCAAAAGCUCCACCUGCCACAGGGACUUCCACUGAAAAUUCUGUGUAGCAGAAGACAGAGAGCAUUGCCGAGACACCGGAAGCAACAUAGGACAAGACAAUAGCUGGUCCAGCAUGGUCAUGAGUUUCUUGCCCAGUAAGCACAAAGAUACCUGCACCAAUUACUGAACCAAAUCCAAACCAGAUGAGAUCCCACCAUGUGAGGCAACGCUUCAUGUCAUUUUCACUUCGCUUUGGAAGUUCCCCAAUCUCAUUGUUAUCAUCUGAUCUGCUUAUGAGACGGUUCUUGAACCUGUAGCCUGUUUGUGACAGGGCGGUCCGAUAUGUGCUCCAACUUUGAAAGGAUUCUUCUGGUAGGAAAUCUUGUUUGCUCCAUCUCCAGUAACUUCUUGGCUGAACCUCUUCACCCACUACUCCCAUGGAACCCAUUUUUCUAUUUUUCCCUUGUGUCCUUCCCUAGCACUUAUCUAAAAUGCUAGAAUAUGGGAUUCUGUCCUGAGAUUUAGAAUCUUAUCUCCUAGUUCCUGAAUUAUUUCUUCAAUUAUUGAUAGUGAAACUGAGGUUGUGAGCUCAAUGCAUAAGUCAAAUGAUGCAGACGAUUUAAGAGACUUGUAAAAGCUUGUUUUUACUUACAAGUCUAGUGGGCUGAUUUUCUUGGAUUGUUUGGUAUAUGUGAUAUUAUUUGUUCAGAAGACUGUAAUGUUGACUUGAAAAUUGGCUACUUGCAUUGUCAUUUUGUGAGAAUCUCUCACUACUUA